rnacentral:miRNA from 1 species
AGCUGCUGGUCUAUGGAUCCC